rnacentral:rRNA from 1 species
AACGAACGCUGGCGGCAGGCCUAACACAUGCAAGUCGAACGCUGUAGCAAUACAGAGUGGCAGACGGGUGCGUAACACGUGAGAAUCUUCCUAUCGGUACGGAAUAGCUCAGGGAAACUUGGGGUAAUACCGCAUACGCCCUUCGGGGGAAAGAUUUAUCGCCGAUAGAUGAGCCCGCGUCUGAUUAGCUAGUUGGUGAGGUAAUGGCUCACCAAGGCAACGAUCAGUAGCUGGUCUGAGAGGAUGACCAGCCACACUGGGACUGAGACACGGCCCAGACUCCUACGGGAGGCAGCAGUGGGGAAUAUUGGACAAUGGGCGCAAGCCUGAUCCAGCCAUGCCGCGCGAGUGACGAAGGUCUUCGGAUUGUAAAGCUCUUUUGGCGGGGACGAUAAUGACGGUACCCGCAGAAUAAGCCCCGGCUAACUUCGUGCCAGCAGCCGCGGUAA